AUUGAACGCUGGCGGCAUGCUUUACACAUGCAAGUCGAACGGUAACAGGUUAAGCUGACGAGUGGCGAACGGGUGAGUAAUGCAUCGGAACGUGCCCGAUCGUGGGGGAUAACGCAGCGAAAGCUGCGCUAAUACCGCAUACGAUCUGAGGAUGACAGCGGGGGACGGUAAGGCCUCGCGCGAUCGGAGCGGCCGAUGUCAGAUUAGGUAGUUGGUGGGGUAAAGGCCCACCAAGCCGACGAUCUGUAGCUGGUCUGAGAGGACGACCAGCCACACUGGGACUGAGACACGGCCCAGACUCCUACGGGAGGCAGCAGUGGGGAAUUUUGGACAAUGGGCGAAAGCCUGAUCCAGCAAUGCCGCGUGCAGGAAGAAGGCCUUCGGGUUGUAAACUGCUUUUGUACGGAGCGAAAAGGUCCUUUCUAAUACAAGGGGCUCAUGACGGUACCGUAAGAAUAAGCACCGGCUAACUACGUGCCAGCCGCCGCGGUAACAC
rnacentral:rRNA from 1 species